rnacentral:rRNA from 1 species
UUGUAAAGCACUUUAAGCGAGGAGGAGGCUACUGAGACUAAUACUCUUGGAUAGUGGACGAACAUUUACUCGCAGAAUAAGCACCGGCUAACUCUGUGCCAGCAGCCGCGGUAAUACAGAGGGUGCGAGCGUUAAUCGGAUUUACUGGGCGUAAAGCGUGCGUAGGCGGCUUUUUAAGUCGGAUGUGAAAUCCCCGAGCUUAACUUGGGAAUUGCAUUCGAUACUGGGAAGCUAAAUGAGUAUGGGAGAGGAUGGUAGAAUUCCAGGUGUAGCGGUGAAAUGCGUAGAGAUCUGGAGGAAUACCGAUGGCGAAGGCAGCCAUCUGGCCUAAUACUGACGCUGAGGUACGAAAGCAUGGGGAGCAAACAGGAUUAGAUACCCUGGUAGUCCAUGCCGUAAACGAUGUCUACUAGCCGUUGGGGCCUUUGAGGCUUUAGUGGCGCAGCUAACAUCGCGAUAAGUAGACCGCCUGGGGAGUACGGUCGCAAGACUAAAACUCAAAUGAAUUGACGGGGGCCCGCACAAGCGGUGGAGCAUGUGGUUUAAUUCGAUGCAACGCGAAGAACCUUACCUGGCCUUGACAUACUAGAAACUUUCCAGAGAUGGAUUGGUGCCUUCGGGAAUCUAGAUA